GGGUUUGGGUAGAUGGGAUCUUCUGUUUUUUUUUUUUUUUUCCUUUCAAAUCAAGUAACGGAAAAUUGUUUCUUCUUCGUCUUCCCUCCCAGCCCCCCGCCCCCCCUUCCUUUUUCCAUAGGUUCCAAACGCGGUGGAUGGCGGCGGUUUUGGAUUUCCGGCGAGGGGAGUUGGUGCACUGGGUGGUGCUCCUCCUUGUUUUCUUCUCACAGAAUGGGCCAGGGUUUCCUCUUUGAUCGGUUGAUCCUCUCGCUCUCUCUCUCUCUCUGAGAUGUUAAUUUCAAGGGGAAUUUCUCGCAUUACGAGAUCAGCGGGCUUGAACCCUAGUCACCGGGUCUUCUCAUCUCGAAGCAGCAAGCAUCACCAACUGGUCCCAUCUGUUCUAUUUACGCUCUCCGCUAGACUCUACUGAUAAGGAUCAAUUGGACCCAUUUUUGCUUGUUGAAGAUGAACCAUCUAUCCUUCCAAAUAGGUUGCGCGCAAUGGUAGUUGCCGAGGUCCCAAAGCUUGCCUUAGCUGCCGAGCACUUCUUCAAAAUGGGGGUGGAAGGAAAGCGAUUUCGACCAACGGGAAGAUUGAUGGAUACUUUUCAGCAGUAUCUGCUGUGUCCAAAAUCGAGAAUUUCUUAAAUAAUUGAUAGAUACUUUCAGCCGUGUCUCAUACUUGUCCCGCCUUAUGGGGGCUUUUGGCUUCAUUGCCACCCACAUACAUCAUAGAUCUUUGGGUGGCUUUGGUAGCCUGUCCUUUCUUUGGGGGCAACAAGGAAUGUUGCAGCCAUAAGGUUAAUAAGACCUUUAUGUGGCAAUGAUAUAGUCGUCAGUUAACUGUCCAUGAAGUUGAUAGUAUCAUUUUCAUGUCUAAACUAAUAGGUUCACUUAGUUUUCUUGAAGUGCAACUUCCAAGUUCUUUGCUUUCAAUAAUUCCUCUUAUCUGUCAAAAAGAUUGCCCAAACGAUAUUAAGCAUGUAUAUCUUUGAUUUGUUAAGACUUAAAGAGUCUUAUUGCAAAGGUCCAGGGACCACACGUUUCCCUGGAUCAUGAUAGCAUACUUCUACGCUAUCAACCAUUUAGCAACUUGUAGAUCCAUCGGACUCAUUUUACCGGUUAAUAGAUUCAGCCUGAAAGUUCUCGUUAUUUUUUAAUCAGAAGAUAUUUGUCUGAGACUGUCAGUACACUUUAUGUACUCUGCUCUACCUGCCAUGAUCUCAUAAUUACUCUGUACUCUGUAUUACAGACCUAUUGUCUGCGCAGGUUUUAUUAUUGAUGGGAACAGCUUUGAAUGUACAUAUACCUGGGCCUCCUGAUGAUGUGGUGGUUGAUGCUUUAUCAGAAGAAAUCCGUCUAAGAUAACAGCGUAUAGCUGAAAUCACAGAAAUGAUCCAUAUACAAGACGUGGCAUUGGUUCAUUAAACUUUGUGAUGGGGAAUAAGUUAGCUGUAUUGGCUGGCGUCCAAUCACUCGGAUCCCCUCGGCGUUUCGACUGUCCAAGACCAAGGGCAGCCUUGAUUUACCUGACUAUUGUGAUAUGUGGAAUUGUAACAGCUCCUAUAUUGUUUGCCAUGGAGUAGUUCCCGCAAUUGCGAGCAGUUGUUAAUCGGGGAUUUGAAGACCCUGCAGAUGUGGAUCUUGCUCUUGAUUACCUCGGAAAGAGCCAGGGGAUACAGAGAACGCGAGAGCUAGUGGCAAAGCACGCCACCCUUGCCGCCGCCAUAGUUGAUUCUCUUCCGGAGAGUGACGAUGAGGAUGUGCGAAGAUCAAGGCGGGCCCUAGUGGAUCUAACUCAAAGAGUCAUUACCAGAACAAAGUACAUCCCAAAGUGAUUUCAUUAAUCGCAAUUUUUGCUUCCCGUCAUAUAUUUCCAUCAGUUAUACAGUCAGGGCGGAGUAUUCCCUUGUUUGUUUUCCAUAUUUCAUGAAGAGAAAAUUGAGAAUUUGUUGUUGUUAUGUUACAGCUAGCAAUGGAAAGUAAGAUUUUUUUUUUUUGGGCAAUCCAGUGAUAGUGUUGGUGAAUUACUGGUGUCAUGUGACUCAUGUUAUAAUACUUUCUAAACAUCUCAUAUUCACAUCUCCUAAUUCUAUAUUUAUGCUCCUUUUGGCAUUCCCAAUCUUACAAUGUUCUAUUUGCCUUGCUCCCGCUCUUCCUUCCGCUCCCGCACCCCUGCUUCGUGCAACUACUGUACAGUGUGAGUAUCCAAUAGAAAAGAUGACGUCAAAAUUAUAAGGCUGAAAUUGUAGAAGUUGCACGGAUUUUUCCUGCCUGAAGGAAAAAAAGAGGAGCUAGUCUUGGCGAAUACAUUAUUUUGCUCAGACAAGCUAGAAAAGAAUAAAGCUGCCAUCAAAAUUUUCACGUCAAGUCAUACCAUUAAUGUCUCAAUAGGAAAUUAUUCCAUCAGCAUCGGAGCAGCCUAAGUGCAGACAAGUUUGGACAGCUCAGCUCUCAUCUAAGGUAUCUUCUUUAUAGAGAAAUGUAGAAAGUUUAGCAAAAUAUUGAUCAUGACAAGUUUCGUCACCUUCUGUCCAGUUAAUUUAUGUUCCAUUUGACAUUCUACUGUUCAAAUUCUAUGAGAUGGAGAGUAUGUAUCAAGACGAUCUCUGCUUAUAUGCAUCCGCUGAAAUUAUGUCAUAGAAAACUAAAUGUGGAUAUUGAGAGGCUAACAAAACAGUAUUUUAAGUUCAAUGAGUUUCAUUGGAUGGACAUUGGACCAUAAGGAAGAUGUCUUCCUCUGCAUGAUCUUUGAUGAAAAUGGAGAAGUCACACAAGAUUGGCAUUACAACUUGACCAUUAUUUUCAGACUCGUAACAAAAAGGCCACUUGAACUUUGAUUUCACAUUGACAAGAAAGGUCCUUAUCUUCUCUAGAGGUCGACAAUUUCUGUGAAGGAGCCAUUAUUGUACUUGUGGAUUCAGCCUUUUUUCAUUAUUAUCCGAGAUGUUAAUGUCAAACACCAUGAAAGACGAACAAACUCAGGAUAAUGUGCAAACCUUGGACAAAAGAAGUCUUUUCAUCAUAGACAAACUCUGUUUGGCUUCUGGAUGUAUGUGCAGAGGAGCAACUUACUCGGACAUAUUCAUCUUUUAGAGUAACCAAACCAAAAAAAAUAGGUUCUUUGGAAAAUACCUAUUAAUUUACACAAGUCCCCUAAACAAGAAGUUUUGGGAUCAUAGUUGUCUUCUUUCUAGCUGACGUCUUAAUUUUAUAGCCAAUAAAUGCUUUGUUUCGGCUACCUUUUUCAAAUAUGAUCUUCUUGGAAUAGCAAGUCUACCAACACAACAAUGUGCACAACAAUUUACACAAGAAGUGGAUGUGGCUAUGAUUGGUGAUUUGUAAGUGGUUAUCUGCCCAGUUGCCAAUCAUGCAAGGCAACAUCAGCAUAUUGUACAAAUUAUUGUACACAUUGUUGUGUUAGUAAACUCUCUUCUUGCAAAGUUUUGUUUGUUCAAGAUUCAGUGUUUGAUGUGGUUUAGUCUAGCAUACUUCCUAGAUCCAAAAUUGGGCCUAAAUUAAGCUAUUUGCGGCAAUGCUCUAUUCUUAGGUAGGGAUUAGCUGAAAUUAGCAGUUUCCUUAAGAAUUCAAGGUUUUUGUUGUUUAUUUUAAUGAUAGAUAUGGUUGUAAGCCUUAUAAAGAUAAGUGAAUUUGCGGAGUUUUUUUCUCUAUUUCAGGUGUUCUAUAGUAUGCUUAUUCUUAAAAUUUGACUAUGUCUUACACGAUUUCAUGUCAAUCUUGCGAGCAAAAUCUGCUUCUGCAGUC